GAAACGCACAACGUUACUACUGCUGCAGCUGCUGAAGAGGUCCGUGAAAGGAGCUUCAACUACUGGAUAAACCGGUGAAAUCCGUCGGAGCAUUAGAUGCCACAUAAAACUGCCGACUGCACAGUUUUUGGACCAUUCUCAGAGAAAAUAAUCAACUCAGCCAUGUAUUUCCCUUAAACUUUGUGGAAAGUUAUUCCUGCCUCAGCACUUGGGACAAAGUGGAAGAAUGUGAGAGAAAACAAACUAUCACAUCCGGAAGACCCUUGAAUCCUGUUUGGUCUCUGGGGAGUGUUUACCAGGGAAGAAGCAUGACAGCCUGAGUGUGAGCUGAGAUGACGAAUAUCAGGACCAUGAAACUGAAAUGGAAUUUAGCCAUCAUUAACCUUAUUAUUUUAUCUAAGACAUGUGACACUCAUGCAGACCUGAUGGACUGUUUGAGCUCUGAGCUUCUGGAAAAGAGCUGCCUGACAUCUGGACCACAAUUAAUUGAUUAACAACGUAUUAACAUUCACAAUUGCAGACCUGAUGGAUUAUUAGAAACGAAUAAAGUAAUGAGUAUUUAUUUAUAAUUUAUCAACUUUAAUGGCUUAUUAUGUUAUUAUUUAUGACUGAAUUAUUUCUGAAUAUGAAGAAUAAACGCCAUAGAGAUUUUUCACAACUUAGCAACCUCAAACUUGUUCUUAUUAAAGACUUAAAUGUCCGUCACAGAUUCAGGGGAUUUAUCAGCAGAAUAUGUCAGAAAUGGAAUCUAAAAGCAUGUUUUAUUAGUUUAUAUUUAUUUGGAAAUAAGAAUCGUUAUGUUUUUGUUACUUUAGAAUGAGCUUUUUAUAUCUGCAGAGGGAGCAGGUCCCUUUUCCAUGGAGUCCAACAUGUUUCAUGCUUGAAAGGUAGCUGCAAUCUGCAACCUCACCUUAAAUGUCACAACAUCCUACACACAGUAGUAAGUCCUAAGCCUUUAGAAAAGUGACUUCUCUUCUUUGAUUGUUUUGUUGAUCACUUUAAACUCCAACUCUCCAUUAAGUGUAUCAGCACAAAUAAAAGAUUGAUGAGGCUUCAUCUCUUGCUUGCUCGACUGAUUAAUUCAUUCAUUUCAAGUAAUGCUACGCAGAAAUGACAGUUCAUGUGGUUUGAGCAGAGAUAAAAAGGAUCUAGUGGGGUUGCUGGGUUACAAAUCUCUUGCAGUUAAUUGUGUGUGAAAGAUAUGCAACCAAAUGAUGUUACAAGUCUAAUUUGGUUGUUUAUGAUGAUGGGGAAUAGCAUUGUUGCUAUUUAUCUAAGAUGUGAUAAUGUUUAAAGACAUUAAUCACUGAAAGUAAUUGUGAAUAUUCUUUUUUUUAACUCUUAGCCCGAACUGGAAUUUAAAUUAAACUAUAAAACUAAUUCCCUCAUCAUAUUUUCCUGUAUUAAAACUCAUUUCCUGUCCUGCAUCCUGCCAAAAUAAGGCACCAAUCGUUUAGGCCUCACCUUCUUUGAUGAGAAACAAAUCAGUGAAAAUGAAGACUAAGCCUAAUUUCAGCUAAUGAUAGACCAACACGAAAACCAGCUGAGCAACCGAGUGUAGCUCACAUCAGCUUCUCAUUAGUGGUCAGUACCCGCCCUUCGCUCGAAGCCACGAUUUUCACCACCGUUUUUCUCCAAUAGGUGGAGAGUCCUCACAUUAGAGACCUCAUUGGAGUUGUUUCCAUCUGCUCCAUAUGUAUCUCAUCUGGCCAUAAAUAUUCACCAUUUAUUACUUGGUGACAGAGUAAAUCGGUUGAUCAGCUGCCCUUUCUCCACUAUUAAAUCUACCAAAACAACUUAAUUGAGCUGCAUUUAUUUAAUAAAUGAUCAACUUCCUUCAUAUGAAGAUGCCUUUUAUUUGUAUCUUUGGAAAGCGAUGGCUGUGAGGCAAAAACUUGACAAUAAUGUUCCUGUGUACAUCAAUGUCUUGCUGUAAUAGUGCUUUCACAUUACUUUGAUGCAAAAAAACAGACGCUGCAUGUGAUGCUGCUGGUUUAUCAAUUACAGCACGGCUGUGAUGUAGAUCUGACUGGAACAGGGAAAAUAAAAAGUUUGACUUGAAUUUCAGAUUCUGGAUCACAACACAAAUAUUCCCUUUUCUUUUUAAGGCCUUGCUGUUUAUUCAUUUUUUUUUCCUACAACAGCAAAAUACAGAAGCAGUAUUGAAAAUAAAAGUCUUAUUUUCUUGUUCUUGUAAAAAAAGAAAAAAAAAGAGAGAAAGAAAUUUGCACAAAAUUUGAAUGACAGUACAAAACGAAGCGUUAAUAUGCCAUGUAAAUGGUAGGGAGGGACAUUACUGUUGGAAAAUCUAGUUAGCCUUUUUCAAUAAUGAAAACAUCUCAAUAUUUUUUACAUUUCAGAAUUAUAUCACAUAAUCUGAAACUAUAUAUAUAUAAAAAUGAAAGAAAUGAACACGUGUUUUUUGUGUUUUCGACUUUCUUCUGUUUUUUGCUUCUUUUUUUUCUUUUUUUUGGCAAAUGAACGCUAUAAACACAUAAACCUCUUAAAUAUAUUUAUCAGUGCAACAUUGUUUGUUUAGAGUCCACGCUACAGUAUCCUUUUUCUCUAGUUUAGCAGAUGUCGCUGAGCGCUACAGUCCUCUUUUAUAGCCGAGAGCGCAGACGGUACGGUGUAGAGGUCGAGAGGAGCGGGAGGUCAAAUCUGAAAUGAACAAGCUGAGAAUGUGUUCACCACGGCACGACAGACAAAGCACACGGAUGCAAAAGAUGUCACCCCUGUCAGGUUAAAGUUUUUUGAUUGUUUGAUUGUGGCAGGGGGAAAAAAAACCUUCCGGACUUCUGGUCCCAUGGGCUCUUGUGUCCUGAUGCUGUCAAUCUUAACAGAGUUCACACAGAGUCCCUUCCUCUUGAAGUGUCUAGUGGUGGGAACGCCCCAUCCAUCCAUCCAUCCUUUCAUCUGCAAACAAGAGUCUCAAUAUAGAUUUGAAGAGUUCACAUUGAGGUGACAUUUGCACUUCUAUUGAGCUUAUAAAGAGAUAGAAAAACAGAUCACACAUUGCUCGUCUCUACAAGCGUCCCAUCAUCCCCCCUGCUUGAUUUCCUCUGACAGGGCAGGGCAAAGCAAGUAGUCAGUUCUUCUGUGAGUGAUUGGUGAACUGUGGUCUGUGGUAUUUUGUGUGUUGGUGAGAACCCCCAGCAAACAAGAAGGGGGCAACCAUCCUUUGGUAAAGCCACUGAGGGGAGGCCAGGUGACCUGAUUCAGGUGACGCCACUCGAUCCCUCGCUGUACCAGUGUCCCGUCCUAAUGACAUCAGCUCUGACAUCACAACGUUAUGGCUGCUACAGGUGAAACACGUAAAAACUCUUUGCGGCCCAAGAGGCCUUAAGCUACAAUACAGCAUGUGAACAAUACAAACUGGGUUUAUCAAGAGAUAAAUGUGUCUGGCUAAAGUAACGAUAGCACCAUUCUUCAGUUAGUGUGUUUGACCCUCUUUUAAUAGGCUCCUAUCAUGAGGGAAUCAGUAACAAAGUGCAUUCAAGCUGCAUUGUCCAGAUAGCACUUCUUCAGUGAACAAUCCACAGUGACGUUUGGAGGUGACAAGUCAGUCUUAGCUAAAGCAAAGCAAUGAUGAUUGUUGUUUUGUUUUUUGUUUUUUUGGUAUGCUGGCAGACAUUUUCUAUAUUUUACCACCUCCUCUGCCAUCGACAUGAAGGUGUUUGAAGUUAUGUGAAAACAUUCUGGUGAUCAGUCAAACUCACAGCAGAGAUAUGAUGGAGAAAUGAGAGAAUAGUUAAGAAAGAGAGCCAAGAGUUCUUUUUUUGUUUUGUUUUGUUUUGUUACCUUUUGACUCAUUCGUCCUUCGGUGGUUUUCGGUGACAGAUGGCUUGAAUGCACAUUGAAAAUCGCUGUAAUAUCAGCGUCACACAAGUCUUACUCAUCUGAGCAAAUCAUCUAAAAUUAAAAAACAAUAACACUGCACCUUCCACAAAACAGUUAGAAGAUUGUAUUUACACACACAAA